UACGGGGGGGGCAAGCGUUGUUCGGAAUUACUGGGCGUAAAGGGCGCGUAGGCGGACAGUUAAGUUGGGGGUGAAAGCCCGGGGCUCAACCUCGGAAUUGCCUUCAAUACUGGCUGUCUUGAGUGUGAGAGAGGUGUGUGGAACUCCGAGUGUAGAGGUGAAAUUCGUAGAUAUUCGGAAGAACACCAGUGGCGAAGGCGAUACACUGGCUCACUACUGACGCUGAGGCGCGAAAGCGUGGGGAGCAAACAGG
rnacentral:rRNA from 1 species